rnacentral:tRNA from 1 species
UAGGCCAAUGCUCGCUGGCUUGGGCAGUUAGUUGUUAACUNAGUUUUUUACGGGAUCGAGGCCCGCUGGUCUA